rnacentral:rRNA from 1 species
CAAUAGCGUAUAUUAAAGUUGUUGCGGUUAAAAAGUUCGUAGUUGGAUUUCUGCCAAGGACGACCGGUCCGCCCUCUGGGUGAGUAUCUGGCUUGGCCUGGGCAUCUUCUUGGAGAACGUUGCUGCGCUUCACUGCGUGGUGCGGUAUCCAGGACUUUUACUUUGAGGAAAUUAGAGUGUUUCAAGCAGGCUUCCGCCUUGAAUACAUUAGCAUGGAAUAAUAAGAUAGGACCUCGGUUCUAUUUUGUUGGUUUCUAGAGCUGGGGUAAUGAUUAAUAGGGAUAGUUGGGGGCAUUCGUAUUUAACUGUCAGAGGUGGAAUUCUUGGAUUUGUUAAAGACGGACUACUGCGAAAGCAUUUGCCAAGGAUGUUUUCAUUGA